rnacentral:lncRNA from 1 species
GCGUGCCUUCGUUUGAUAUGCUAUUCAAGAUCCCUGUACAAUUGUGUUAUUCAAGAUACAAUGGCACUCGAUGAUGCUUGCUAAGAAGGUCUGCAGUAUCCACUGGACUGUUGCUUGCCAGAUGACUGGAAGAUGGGUACUUCAUCCUCUCUUGUUUGUUCAUUUGAAGCGAGAUAAAUAAGAUUCAUGCAUUGUAAUGAAAACUGCAGAUUUAGCUAAACUCAACUGAUGGUGUAAUAUCUCUUCCUAUGAGCUGCAGUAAUGGUAUCUUCUGUAGGAGUAAUAAGGCAUUGCUGCAUAAACAUACUUGACUUUCAAAUGAGCGUGUCAAGAGGUUUAAUUAGUGUCGAUCCCUACUCUAAUUAUAUCUGGAUAUAUGGUUCCUGUACUAUUUGAAACUUAUCAAUCAGAUGUACAGAAUAACAGAAAUUUGCUAGAUAAGCUAACGUUACAAGGGGAAGUAAAAAUUAAACAUUUCAUAUAGUGAUUUUUAAUAUCUGAUAUGUCAUCAUCGUGUGUUUCCUAUUGUAGAUAAAAUUUGGACCAUGGCUCGGUAUGAUCAAUUGGAGAAGACAUUACUAUGACUACAAAGAUCUGUUUUUUCAGGUGAUGAAUUGUAACCUUAUAUUCUUUAUUACUUGGAAUUGAAAAUCACUGGAAGCAAUCUGUAAUUACUUCGGAGAGAAUAUUUUACUCUUUUCUAUCUUGCUCUUGUUCAGCAUAGGAUGUACUCCGUAUAUCAUUAUCACUAUCAUGGUGUAUUUUUGCCAUUGAGGAAUCUUCCCAUGUAGCAAAUUUACCUAGAAAAUACAAAACUUUGGCAUAUCACCAUCAGGUGCAGACGUACUCUUUCCCCCAAAUACUACAGCAGUAUCCCUACAAUCAGAUGUACAAAAAUUUGCUUGCUAAAAAACUAAUCAAUAAUCCAUGAAAUCUAACUGGAUUAAUUAAGGAUCAAGCCACUCACCUUGUGGCUACAAUCGACCAGAUUGACCUCUCCACGUUCCUGCAUGUGAAGAACUGAUCAGUGCCCCAAUUCAAAACUACUGCAUGCAUACCUUAUACAUGAAGCCCUUACUCAAAAUUCAGAAAAUAUGCAGAAUAACCAUUUUUAUUGACAUAGCUAUCUGCAGUCCUAGACAAAGUGUGACCAUAAUCUACACUACUACACAUGAAUUACUAUAUAGCUACCUUAUUGGGGCCUAUAUGCCUGAUCCUCAUAUCUUCUUGUUUGGCAAAGAGUUCACAAUUUGCACUUAUUAGUCUUGAAUGGAGAAGAUUGCACAUGCUAUUGUACAACUGGGCAAUGGUGUGGAGCUCCAUAAGCGACGCCGGCGACUCCAAUUGUCCUUCUCGCCUAUGCAUCCCGACAGAGAAGCUUUAGAAACUAUAAUCUGUCUACUCCUUGUUCAGGUUCAGUAAUGAACAUAUUAUUAUACAAAUUAAUUUAACAAAACUGGAUUCUCUUUUUUGGUGAUGAAACUGUAGCAACAUUAGCACAGUUUUUGUCAAUACUACAAAAGAGGGGGAUAGUUGAUCGUUGGAAACACCAUUGACACAGGCUUGACGCACAACUGGGUUAUAGAUCAAUUGUCUUCCCACUUCAGUAACACCAUGAUCUUGUACUUGCUUUUUGAAAAUCAUGGACGAACAACCUAUGAUCUGGUACCAAUUUUUGGCACAACCAUGAACUCCCAAAGCGAUUCACCAGAGUGAUUUAUGCUUUCUGACGGGUAUGCACAUAUAAGAUGGAUUUCUUCCGAACCGAUUGGAAGCAUACGGCAACAUGGGCGUACACAAGCGCUAGCCUAAGCAUGCAGGUAGAUAUUAUAGACAUCUUGUUGAUGCAGGUGUGCAAGGAUGCAAUAUUCAUGACCGAGCGCUACGUCGGUGGAUCUGUAUCUUUGGGUUCAGAAUUUUGAAAGAAAGGGGAUGUGGGAAACAAUAAGAGGGGAGCUCUACCUCCAGCAGCACUUUCCCGGUCGUCGGCGUCGUGCUUCCAGCUACGGCCGCUGCAGACGAUGGCGGGCAGCAGCCGCCGACGCCUUCCGGCGCGGCUGUGCACAACUUCCCGAUGAGCACCGUGGACUGGAUGCUCUGGAGGUUGCGUCCUCGAGUGCCUUGAGAUUUUCCUGCUACUGCUUAACGUACUUAGUUGGCCAAUCAGUUUAGAAAAUUAUUUGGCCAAUCAGUUAAGAAAAUUAUUUUGUUGGAUAUGUAGGUAUGUGCAAGAAGAGGAGCCGACCUUCUCGAAGCCGGGGAUGACAGUGGAUAGCUCAAUGAAUCGUCGGUUGAUCUUCUCUCGGCGCUUCCGCUUCUGCUCCGCUGCAAGAGAGAGGGGCGGCAGGGGCAGAACCGAAGGACGGUGAGGAGGGAGCGGCGGGUCUGCGGGUAGACCAGACGGGGGCGGCAGCGAGAGUCUGCCUACAGGACGGACGGCUGCCGAGGGGCGGCGAUGAGGGGAGGAGGCGGUAGGGCGUCGGGGAGGUUGGGGAUGGAGCAAAUCUGUGCGAAUUCGAGGGAGGGAGGUUGAGGAUGAUCCUGAAAUUACGGAUCACAUCGGUCAUCAGGGGGGAGUGCGCGACCAUGGUCUGCCGUGGCAGAACAUUAAAUCACAGCCGUUCAACCGGUUGGCAGACCAUCGGGUCAUUAUAUACUGUUAGAUUUGACUAAAUGGAUUAGAUCUGAGGGUUCUGAUUGUUCUGUGUACACUUGUUUGGGUGGUUGUAAAAUAACUCUAGUUUGCUCUUUUAAUAGUAGUAUAGAUUAAAAACAACAACUAAACAACAUUAUGUACUACGCCCUCUGUAAACUAAACUGAAAAAAUGUCUUAUAUUAACAUAUAAAGGUAAUAUUUAUCGAGGAGAUCCUCCUCCGUCUUCAUGUAUUUUUAGAGGGAUAAUAAAAUAUUGGAUUUUUUAGAGAGAUAAAAAUAAUUAUUGAAUCUCAAUUGAAAAAUGACAAAUAUAUUCAUGUUAAAUUUAGAAAUCAUAAAUCCAAAUAAAAAAGGUGAUUUUUAAAAAAAAAUAAACAUGCUAAUAUCACUCAACUUAGUCUUAGUCAACUGAAAUCUAACUACACCUUUACAAAUACUUUAAUUUUUGAUAUGAUUCAUUCGUUGCCUACCUAGCAGCUAGCUUGGUUUCCGAUUCAAGAACGCAAUCGUGAAUUAGCAGGUAAAAAAAACUCAGCCGAGCGCUAGGCAUCCGGCAUCAGACGAACGGCUGGGCUGGAUUGAUCGGGCUUUUGAUAAUUUUCUGGCCCAUAUCAAUGGACAGGGAGACGGUUCCCUCAGUUAGGCCCCUCACACCGUCACCUACCUACCUACCCACCGCUUCACCUAAAAAAAAUCCCACCGGCCGUCACAUUUCUCCCCGUCGUUCCCCAUUCUUCCUCUCCCCGUCUCCUCGGGCCACCCCUCCCCUUCGUACCCACUGCCACCAAGAGGAGCUCGGCAUGCACGGGAGCAUCCCAGCGCUAGGCUCCGUCGGAGGUGCGGGACUUCCACGCCCCUGCUCUUCCCCGUCCUUCUUCGAAUCUGCUCGCCGAAGUGCCGAAGGAUGCGCUCGAGCUCAGCAUGCUCACGAGCGACCCAGCGCGGAUGCCCGCAACAAGACAACAAGGAGCGGGCGUGGGUGCGCAAAAAUAUAUGGGCACAGUUCGAUGCCUCCACUGGUAUGAGCUAUGUUAUUGUGAAAUGAAUUCUCAUUGAUGUAUUUACUGUCAGGAUUAAUUCUAAUUUGAUCUUAGUCCUUAGACAUUACUUCGUGUCAACUCUGGAUUAUCCUAUCUUUGCACUUAAAUUUUAAUUCGUACUGUGCAGUUUACCGUGUACUAAUGUGACCAUAAUUUCAAUUAGGCGUGCCUUUGUUUGAUAUGCUAUUCAAGAUCCCUGUACAAUUGUGUUAUUCAAGAUACAAUGGCACUCGAUGAUGCUUGCUAAGAAGGUUUGCAGUAUCCACUGGACUGUUGCUUGCCAGAUGACUGGAAGAUGGGUACUUCAUCCUCUCUUGUUUGUUCAUUUGAAGCGAGAUAAAUAAGAUUCAUGCAUUGUAAUGAAAACUAAAGAUUUAGCUAAACUCAACUGAUGGUGUAAUAUCUCUUCCUAUGAGCUGCAGUAAUGGUAUCUUCUGUAGGAGUAAUAAGGCAUUGCUGCAUAAACAUACUUGACUUUCAAAUGAGCGUGUCAAGAGGUUUAAUUAGUGUCGAUCCCUACUCUAAUUAUAUCUGGAUAUAUGGUUCCUGUACUAUUUGAAACUUAUCAAUCAGAUGUACAGAAUAACAGAAAUUUGCUAGAUAAGCUAACGUUACAAGGGGAAGUAAAAAUUAAACAUUUCAUAUAGUGAUUUGUAAUAUCUGAUAUGUCAUCAUCGUGUGUUUCCUAUUGUAGAUAAAAUUUGGACCAUGGCUCGGUAUGAUCAAUUGGAGAAGACAUUACUAUGACUACAAAGAUCUGUUUUUUCAGGUGAUGAAUUGUAACCUUAUAUUCUUUAUUACUUGGAAUUGAAAAUCACUGGAAGCAAUCUGUAAUUACUUCGGAGAGAAUAUUUUACUCUUUUCUAUCUUGCUCUUGUUCAGCAUAGGAUGUACUCCGUAUAUCAUUAUCACUAUCAUGGUG